rnacentral:rRNA from 1 species
AGAGAUGCAUUGGGCGUAAAGCGUGCGCAGGCUGUUUUGUAAGACAGAGGUGAAAUCCCCGGGCUCAACCUGGGAACUGCCUUUGUGACUGCAAAGCUGGAGUGCGGCAGAGGGGGAUGGAAUUCCGCGUGUAGCAGUGAAAUGCGUAGAUAUGCGGAGGAACACCGAUGGCGAAGGCAAUCCCCUGGGCCUGCACUGACGCUCAUGCACGAAAGCGUGGGGAGCAAACA